rnacentral:misc_RNA from 1 species
GAUGAAGAACGUAGCGAAAUGCGAUAAGUAAUGUGAAUUGCAGAAUUCAGUGAAUCAUCGAAUCUUUGAACGCACAUUGCGCCCGCCAGUAUUCUGGCGGGCAUGCCUGUUCGAGCGUCAUUUCAACCAUCAAGCCCCCGGCUUGUGUUGGGGACCUGCGGCUGCCGCAGGCCCUGAAAACCAGUGGCGGGCUCGCUGUCACACCGAGCGUAGUAGAUUUUCAUCUCGCUCAGGGCGUGCUGCGGGUUCAGGCCGUAAAAAGCCUUAUUUACCCAAGGUUGACCUCGGAUCAGGUAGGAAGACCCGCUGAACUUAAGCAUAUCAAUAAGCGGAGGA